UACGAAGGGUGCAAGCGUUACUCGGAAUUACUGGGCAUAAAGCGUGCGUAGGUGGUUGUUUAAGUCUGUUGUGAAAGCCCUGGGCUCAACCUGGGAAUUGCAGUGGAUACUGGGCGACUAGAGUGUGGUAGAGGGUAGCGGAAUUCCCGGUGUAGCAGUGAAAUGCGUAGAGAUCGGGAGGAACAUCCAUGGCGAAGGCAGCUACCUGGACCGACAUUGACGCUGAACGGCGAAAGCUAGGGGAGCAAACGGG
rnacentral:rRNA from 1 species